rnacentral:rRNA from 1 species
UACGAAGGGGGCUAGCGUUGCUCGGAAUCACUGGGCGUAAAGGGUAGGUAGGUGGUCUCAUUUGUCCGGGGUGAAAGCCUUGAGCUUAACUCAAGAAGUGCCUCGGAAACGGUGAGACUAGAGUCUUGGAGAGGGUCGUGGAAUUCCCGGUGUAGCGGUGAAAUGCGUAGAGAUCGGGAGGAACACCAGAGGCGAAGGCGGCGACCUGGACAAUUGCUGACGCUCAGGCACGAAAGCGUGGGGAGCAAAAGGG